GGGCAGCGCGAGCGCCGCGCCGCGUCUCGGGCUGGGCGGGAGGGGGGCCGUGAGGCGGGAUCCCGCCCUGAGCCCGGCGGCUAUCGGCACCGGACCAUGGCGCUGGCGGCCGCUCGGCGGCCCUGGGCCCUGCUGUGCCUGGCGGCGGCCGCGCUGCUCUUCCCCGGAGCGGUCGCAUUGCAGUGUUACUGCCAUCUGUGUACUAAAGAUAACUUUACGUGUGUGACGGAUGGGCUGUGCUUUACCUCAGUAACACGGACUGCAGACAAAGUCAUACACAACAGCAUGUGCAUAGCAGAAAUCGAUCUGAUUCCCCGAGACAGGCCCUUCGUGUGUGCCUCCUCCUCCAGAGAUGGAGUCAUUACUGUGCCUUACUGCUGUGACAGAGACCACUGCAAUAAAAUAGAACUUCCAAUUCCAACACCAGGCCCUACACCAGGAAAACCAGCUUCUAACCUGGGACCUGUGGAACUGGCUGCUGUCAUUGCUGGACCUGUCUGCUUCGUUUGCAUUUCACUCAUGUUGAUUCUGUACCUCUGUCACAAUCGUACCGUCAUUCAUCACCGGGUGCCAAGUGAAGAAGAUCCCUCGCUGGAUCGGCCCUUUAUAUCGGAAGGAACGACUUUAAGGGAUUUGAUUUACGAUAUGACAACGUCAGGCUCUGGAUCAGGUUUGCCCUUACUUGUGCAAAGGACAAUUGCAAGAACCAUAGUACUUCAAGAAAGCAUUGGUAAGGGUCGCUUUGGAGAGGUGUGGCGAGGCAAGUGGAGAGGAGAAGAAGUUGCUGUGAAGAUCUUCUCCUCAAGAGAGGAACGCUCGUGGUUUCGGGAAGCAGAAAUUUAUCAAACAGUUAUGCUAAGGCAUGAAAACAUUCUUGGAUUCAUAGCUGCAGACAACAAAGACAAUGGUACAUGGACUCAGCUGUGGUUGGUGUCAGACUACCAUGAGCAUGGAUCUCUCUUUGAUUACCUGAACAGGUAUACAGUCACAGUGGAAGGAAUGAUAAAACUAGCUUUGUCCACUGCCAGUGGUCUUGCUCAUCUUCACAUGGAAAUUGUUGGCACACAAGGCAAGCCAGCAAUUGCCCACAGAGAUUUGAAAUCAAAAAAUAUACUCGUGAAGAAAAGUGGAACGUGCUGCAUUGCAGACCUUGGCUUGGCAGUUAGGCACGAUUCAGCCACGGACACGAUUGACAUUGCCCCAAAUCACAGGGUGGGAACAAAAAGGUACAUGGCCCCUGAAGUUCUAGAUGAUUCCAUAAACAUGAAACAUUUUGAGUCAUUCAAGCGAGCAGACAUCUAUGCAAUGGGACUGGUGUUUUGGGAGAUAGCUCGACGGUGUUCCAUCGGUGGGAUCCACGAAGAUUACCAGUUGCCAUACUAUGACCUUGUUCCUUCGGAUCCUUCUGUUGAAGAAAUGAGGAAAGUUGUGUGUGAGCAGAAGUUAAGGCCCAAUACUCCAAACAGAUGGCAGAGCUGUGAGGCGUUACGAGUAAUGGCAAAAAUCAUGCGGGAGUGCUGGUACCCCAACGGAGCCGCCAGGCUCACGGCGCUGCGCAUCAAGAAAACCUUGUCCCAGCUUAGUCAGCAGGAGGGGAUCAAGAUGUAACCCCGGCUUUGCUACCGAAGAACACUGUAAAAAGAUCCAUCUCUGCACCAGAGUGGCGUGUUUAGAAGGUCAAUUGUUCUACCUCACUGGGGGAACAGAAGGAUAUUGCUGCCUUUCAGUACUAUAUAGGAACGUCACUUGCUAGGGGUUUUGUGGACGUGCUAGAGUUGUGUUGGGUCCUUUCUGUGCACUAUGAACCUCUUUUCCCAGGUUACUUACAAAACGUUGUGUAGUCCAGUUUUAUUUUUUAAUACCUGUAAUUUUUUUAUUAUUAUUUGGAAAGUUGAUAGCUGGUCUUAACUUCUGGUUACCUGUCCUAAGAAUAGGAGGUCGCUUUUCAAAUGGAACUGGUUCGCUGGCUUGCUCUAGGGUGCCUUGAUGGCUCUUUAAGCAACUUUAUUCCCGGCUGGUACAUUGACUCUUCUGAACCACUCUCACAGUUGCUUGAUUCAGAUUGGGAAUGUGCUGUUGGAGGAUACUUUUGCUAGCCAUCGAGGUGGUAUAUCUUUUGGACUCUUAGCUCGAUUUACAAAUUGACCUCUUUCAGUUGUGGGAACAUAAUUUAUUCAGCUAUACUUUAUACAUGAUUACUGGGGGAUUUUUCCCACUUUUCCAGAACAUUACAUUGCCUUCAAAAUAGAUUGUAUUGUACCAGUAAGUGCCGCUUUUGAGUCUUUUAAUGCAAAACAGGAGCAGUGUACAAAGCCUAUGGUACUUUUGGUGUCAAAAAUACGAGUCAAAAAUCGACUGUUCCUUCGCCCAGCUAAGAUCUAACUCACAUUUGUUUCAGCAAGGGAGAAGAUUCAUGGAAUACCUUUAACUUUACCAAAAUACGACUUUUUAAACCACUGUAGGAGUUUUAAAUAGUGUAAGCUAGUUAAUUCACUGUCAUAUUUUGUAAUUGUCAAGUCAUGAGUUAUAAUUAGAUUUAUUUUAUCAAGUGGUACUUCUGAAACACUUUAAGUACCUACCUACUCCAGAAGAGGAGUAAGAUGUCCUUAAGGGAGACCCUGCUCCAUUGAACUAAAUAUGAAAAGCAUUUUCUGUGGAGUCCUGUAGAGUCUUAAAUUUCAAAGAACAGUAUUUCCAAUUGAACGAGUAGUAAGUGCACCUGUAAUGAGGGAGAAGUUAUUUGGGCUUUUGUACUAGAAAGUUCCAAGCUGCUUAUGAAUUUUAUGUGCUUAUAUUUUGUGUGUGCCUCAUACACAAGAAGUGGUGAGCUACAGAAAGUGGUGAGCUGCAGGUCUCUGGAUACAAAUACCAGAGGAUUCCAGCAAUCCUCUUCAUAGUUACAAGAACAAAGCUAGGGUGGCUUGUGUUGUCAUGAGAACCCAGAAGAAUAUGUAUGGCUUUAGUCAGAUUUGCCUGAGAUUUUAAGGAUAUCACAAGAUUGUCACGAACUUGACAAAUGGAAUUGCUUCCUGACCAAACAUAGGACUUCUGUUAGGCAGCACACACAGCAUCCUUAACUUUGCUUCUUUUCCCUUCUUUAGCCUGCAGCCCACCACAGUCUACCACAAAACUAGUAGCUGUGGCAGGGUGCUUGCUAACAGAGGCAGAGCAGAGAUUGUACCCCGUGCUCUCUGAUGUUAGUUAAAGCAGUAAGGUGGAUUGCCCCCAUAUAGAUGACACAAGACUUAGCUAAGCUAAGCCUGAGUUCUUCUGUUGACAAAUUCUCAGUGCUUGCUUGAACAUGGUUUAAAUAAUGUGGGAACUGCAGACCUGCAGUUGAGCUGCAAAGAAUGAAUUGCUUUAUUCAGCCACCUUUAUAGAUGAGUUUGCUCAAGCUGGAAGAUGGUAUCCAGGAGAAGGGGGGGACAAUAAGGGAAGUUCUUAGAAAACUGAGCUUAAUUGGGUUCAAACAAAUGUAUGGCUGUGAUGUUUAUUUGUUUGUUUGGCAUUACCUGACCAGUCAGGCUUAUGUGCUUCAGGCCCUUGUCAAUCAAAGCUGGAUCAAAACCAACUUCAUGUAGGUGUUUAAAAUAAAGUAUGCCUUUGUGCAAAUGGAGAGACAGGCACCAUUGUGACUGUUCUAAAACAGAUCAAAAGUAACUAAAUUCCAAGUCCACCUACUUGUCAUGUCUCUAACGAGUUCUAUCCAGACAAAUAGUUAAACAAAUCAGCAUCAAAGGAAGGAUUUACUAUAUCUUCAUAGCAGUUUCAAAGAUUCUCAUUUAAAAGAUUGGUUAGCUUUGUUAAAUGUUUACUUUUUCAUGGGUGUAGCUGGGCCUUUACCAUCAACACAAAUGAGGGGUAAAUGAGGUUCAUGUUUUGGAACCACCAGGCUACUGACGUGCUCAGAUCUUUAUAGGGGUCUUGAUGGUAACAUGAGAGAGCUUCCAAUACAAUCCAUCAAAUCAUUUCAUUAGUGGCUCUCCAACAUCUACCAAACCUCAUUGCCAUAAAGUUUAGUUUUCUAAAAUACAGGCAGCAGUUGUGUUGCAUUUAAAAGGGAGGCAAGGGCAGCAGGGCAGCAUCAUGGCACGCAGAUGGUUCAAUGAGCUGUGCAGCCCAUUGUUACAUCUGUCUCAUCUCAACCACCUACUAGCCUUCCUCUCCUCAGCUGCUAGCAGCUAUUCUUAUGUUGUCCCAGUUUUUUGCUUUAUAAUAGAAACCUGCAAAAACAAAGCAUAGGAAGGAUACAGUGUGUGAUGUUAGGAGGGUUAUUUUGGGACAACCUUGUUACAUUGAAAAGCAGAACAGGAACAUUUUGAAUAGAGCCAUACAUAUCCUCGAGUUCUGACACCACAACUUCAAGCUUUGUUCUUCUUUUCCAUGAUAUGAACUGAACACCUUUUACAAAGGCUGUGUCUGUAUAUAUUAUGUAACUUUAAAUGUUGCCUGUGUGAGAUCAUAUCUUAUAUAUAUGGACACAGGUACACAUGAGUAUUUUUUAAAUUAAGAUUGUAAUAUCACCAGAUCUACUCUUGGAAAUCCAGGGGGACCAAAAUAUUUUAGCAUUCAAGAUAUUAUUUUGUAUCAUUUCAAGUAUAUACCAAAACGAUUCCUGACGAAUACUGAUGCAAAUGUCUAUUGUAAAUAUUAUGUGCAUUAUAUGUUCACGUUUGUGGAUUCAAUCAAUUUGAUGUUUUAGUAGCAUUAAAGCCUCAGUUUGGUUUACAGACUUGCGACCGGGUGGAUACGGACGUGGAGAGUUAAGGAGCAUUGGAGGUGGUCUGAUGCUGAAAAGCCCAAAACGUUGUAUUGGGGAUGCUGGAAUUUUGGGACUUCCCAACCUUCAGAGCUGGAGGUCUGGGAUGCUUCUCAAGCUGACUUUCCAAGUAUGACAUGCUGUCACCAUCCAAUGGUUCUGCUUGUAAUCCUAAGAGAGACUUUGUACAUAGGUGAAGACGUUGGGACUGACCGUUUGGGGACAUGAAGGCAGCAGAUGAAAUGAGAGGCUAUAUUUUUUGUUCUCAGUAAUGGUUCUGAGUGUGAUUGCCAUGAAAUUCACCUUUUUAGUUAGGUCCUUGUGUAUAUCGUGCCAUUGGAAUGGUUGUGAGGUGUUAACCAUUUCGUGUUCAGAAGAAAAAAAGAGGAAGAAAAACAAGCUUCACCAUAUCAGUUGCUUUAAACUCAAGUUACCUCUGCAAAGACCAAGGAGCUGUGAUUGUUUGGAUGAGCAUAUGCCUCUCUACUGUGACUGGCCAAAGGAAGAACUUGAGCCUCUCUGAGAGUUUAUUGAAAGUACAAUUUAAAUCCCUGGUGUCUGAGAUGUGAUGGAACCUGACACAGUUCAGGGCUGCUGUGCAUGUUGUGGCACUAUAGUUUCUGCAGGCUGUGUUGUCAGUGUGUGCAGUAUGUUACACAGCCCUCUUAAAGUCCUCAUCUGGUUCCUUCAUGACGAGGGCUCUCCAGAGGAAGAGGUAGAUGCAUUCCUCCUUUUAUUGUUGCAGCAGUUAUAUGCAGGAGACUUGAAGUACAGUACUGAGGAAACUCGUGUGGUUUAAUUUCCCUGCUUGCUCACAGAUAAUCUCAGUGUAACUCUCCAAACAGAUAAUGUUUUGAGGAAAAGUUGCAGAAAAUCAUUCCAGAAUCUGUUUUCAUACAGACUUUGGAAACAGCAACAACAACAAAGACUCUGAAACAUGGACUGUCAUAAUUGAGGUGACUAGAACACUGAGAGAUGGAGAAAGGGCAGCUCGCCAGGGAAGAGUAAAACAACCACUGAAGGAAAACUUGCUCCUUAUCUAGGAGGAAAAAGAUGAUUCUUUUUGUAUCAGCCAACACCAGGAAAGUGAAAGAGCAUAAACUGGAGCUGAUGAAUCUAUGCUGUUUGGAUGCAUUUGUGAGGCGAGUUCAUGUGGCUGUCAGAAUUUGCUGCUUGGUUCAGCAGCAUUUUGCUUUGGUGAUCCUGAAUGGAUGGAAAUGGUUCUGGAAAAGAUGUCUUUCUCGUUCUGGAAUAUGAGGAAGUGCCAGCAGGACUGCACCCUCGGUAGGGCAGGUCACAGCAAGUUGCUACGGAAAUCUCUGCCAUUGGAAGAUCAGUGAGAAGCCAUUACUUCCCAGAUGGUGAGCCAAGGCCAGAAAGGAGACAGGAUUUAGACUGCCACUAGCACAGCCCAUCUCUACUAAGGUACAGACAAGAGAAACCAGCCUACAAGUGUAGCUCUCUGGCGAGCUUUGCGCUUGGAUCUGCUGCCAUCUCAUGGGCUCAGGAGGAAUUUUAAGUCCUCGAGAUAGCAGGCAGGCAGAAAAGUAACGGAGAUAACUUUGUGGUUAGAGGGGGCAAAUCCCAGCUAUUUAACUGGCAUCUGAACUCACUUACCUAUGUGCAUCGUAUUUCUUUCCCGGUGUGAAAAGUUCUUCUUUUAUAAUCAGGUAACAUUUGGCACUUUUUUGCUUUCUUG